rnacentral:ncRNA from 1 species
GGCACAGAUCUCGCANAGUAAUCGACUACAGGUAACCAACGGCGGUUGCCCCACCUACGACAAAGACGUCGC